AUUACGCAGCCCCACGGGCUCCCUGCUUUCCCAGGAGAAGCAAAAGCUUAUUUCCAUAUGUCUCUCCAGCUUGCAGAGUCCCAGGGAGCAGGGCAGCAUCGACCCCAGCAGAGACUCUUCCUCCUCACACAGCCCCAGUCGAAUAAACUUCAUCUGCUUGACGGCUGAUUCCUGGUGCAGCACACGCCACGUGGUAUCUAACCGAAGUUGGCGAGUUCAAAGACUUAAUCUAAACAACUCCUGCAUAAAAGGCCCGUCUGUAAAAGGUUCCUUAUCCUGCCAUCAUGCUUGUGUGGUAGAUUGAAGACAUUGACUCCACCUUCAUGCGGCUGGAUUACACUCUCCAGCCUGUAGCUUCGGCCUUCACCAUGUGUUGCGUCUUUGGCCAUGAACUUUGAGAGGCAGAGAUGAGUGCCACUUCCGAGUGGCAGAUUUCACAGCAUCACAUGGUUCUUCUGGAAUCAGAAGUAUCCCCUACACAGGCUGCUCUCCCCUCUACCACUCUCCAUUCCUGAAGCAAGAGCCAACGGGUACCUGAGUUGAGCUGGCUGUAGACUUCAGUCGUUGCUAACCUCUGAAAUUUAGGAAGACCAACCAGUGAUGAUGCAAACUGCACAGGGAGUGUAAAUAUAUCAGUCUGCUUUCUCAUUGCUGUGAUCGGAUGCCUGAUUCUAAGUAAGUUUAUUUUGGUUCACAAUUUGAGGGCACAGCCCAUCAUGGUGGGGGAGGGUGCAAGAUGACCACCAACACAAGGCAUUGCAAUAGACCCUCCUUCCAAAGUGAAUGCUCUCAUGAUAAUUCUAAAUCUGGUCAGGUUGACAGUGAAAGUCAACUGUUACGGGAAGCUCAGGCAAGGGAUUUCUGGCAGUUAGAAGGACACAUGGUUCUGGCCCAAAGGGGAUCUGAGUGGUACACGGAAAUGAAGAAGCAUUUCCCAUAGUUCACCUUGUGUCCUUAGGCUAGCAUGGGACGGUUAUGACUAUUUCAAAACCAAUAGAAUCAGGUUCCGAAAAGCAGAGGCAUUGCCAUGGUUGGUCUGAAUCAAGAAGGUUCACACUCUGGGGCAUAGCCUGGGCUUCUCAAGUAACAACAGCACUUCGGAGGGAUGCACAUAAAUGAAGGAAAAGGAGUAAGGACUAUGGUGUGGGAUGGAUGGCCACUCAGUAGCAUAGCAUUUGACCCACAAAGGAGCUCUAUAGUUUUGACCUACAGAUGCUGAGCAGAGAGGAAGGGAUGCUAGUUGAAAGGUCUGAAAAUGCCAGCAUCUUGGAGAGUUUGUGGAUAGAGCACCAGGGAAUGCAAAAGGGCCACCUCCCGUGGUGAGCAUUGGGCUUGAAUGGCAGUUUCCCUCUGGGAGGCCAUUAAACAGGAAGUGCCCAAGUGAUGUACUCCUGGUUACAGGGCAAUGCCCCAGCAUCAGGAGCUGUUUGAAGCAACUUUACCCAACUUCUGGACCCUGUCUCUUCGUCAGUAAGGUAUGCUUUAAUGGUAUGAGGCUUCACAGGGUGGCUGUGAGAAAUAAAAGCCAAAGAAAGUCUGUGCAACACCUAGAAGGUAGAAAGCACUUCAGAAGUAUCUGGAUAGGACUGGGGAAAUGGCUUAGUCAGUAAACGGUUUUGUCUUAUAAGCAUCAAACCUGAAUUUGAUCCCAGAACCUAUGUAGGGGUGAAAAAUCUGGCCAUGGUGGUAUAUGCUUAUAAUCUCAGUGCAGGGGGUUUCGGGGGGAAAGACAGGCAGAUCCUGGGACUCAGAAGCCAGCCCAUAGGACCAAGAACUUCAGGCCUGCAAGGCCCUAUCUUAAAAAAGGUUAGACAGAGCCUGAGGAAUGACACCCAAGGAUAUCCUCUAGCCUCCCUGUGCACUGCACAUACAUGCACAUGAGCAUGAGCCUUCCCACCAGGAGAAGCACCAAGUCAUGAUUCUGCCAACAUACAAGUUUCGAGAUCAGGCAGAGUUGGAUUGAAUCUUAGUCUGCUGCUUCUCAGUUUACGGCCUUGGGUAGUAUCAUAUUUCUGCCUCAGUUUCUUUAAUCUGUAAAAUGUAGCAGAUACCAAGGGAUAGUGUGAUAUUGGAAAAGCCUGGGCAAGAACAUAGCUCAGCAUGGAAAAUCUUAUCAGGGUAUGUGCAUUCCAUUAGUACUUCUGGAUCACGAGUUCAGCAAGCUGGACUUCAGGGCAAUCCUUUCCUCGGUCUGCCAUCCGUCUGAGACAAAUAGAUAUUUGUUGGUGUCUCCCAGGGGAAGUGCAGAGGGCACCAGGGAGGAAAAUAGUAGCACUAGCCACACUUGUCCACCCUGCUUCCAACAGUCGGUGAUUUGAACUUACUUCACUAAAAAGCUGGCCGAGACAGGUGAGUGUGUUAGGUUGACUCCAAAGCUUCACAACUAGAAGUCAGAUCUUUAGGCUUGGCCACGGGCAGCUGGGGCUUUGGCAAAUGUGUUUGCCAGCCGGGCAUUGGAAGUCAGGCUGUCUUUUCCAUAUCACAGAGCUUCUACCUGGGAAGCUGACCCCCAGCCUCAUCUCAGUGAAGGAAAGGGAAACCCAAUCCAUCUCGUCCCUGCCACCUGGUCCCCAGGGAGUGCUGAGCCCCAUCUGCUGCCCCUCACCCAGAUGGAUGAGGUGGGUGGCCACCAUGCACACAGGGCGCUCUGAAAUUAGAGGUAGAAGCAUCCACACAGCUCAGCUUUCACCAUUUGCGUCUGCCAAGAAGAAAACCUUGUUGAUCUGUUUCGUUUUAGUAUUUUUAGGACAGGUCCUUUGACACAUAAUACAGUUUAUUAUUCUAUUUGAUUUUUUUUUUGAUUUAUCUAAAAUGACCAAGGCUGGCUCUGAUUAUUAUUUUGAGACUUCAACCAGUGCAGAAAAAAGGAGCCAAGGGAAGAGCGAGGUUUUCCCUGUUUCCCAUCAAAUGCCACAGCGCAGAAAGAACCGUUAGCUGUCUUCUGGAGCAGAUGCUUCUAAAUCUCUCUGUGUUCAACACACAUGGGCAAAAAUACAUAGGAGUUUACAAAUAUGUCAGUACUUUAACAAAAGUUACUUACUUAUAUAUCAGUGUUCUGAGUGUAUAUAUGGGGCAUGCCAGGUGAAGGCAUCAGAUCCCAUUAUAGAUGGUUGUGAGCCACCAUGUGGUU
rnacentral:sRNA from 1 species